ensembl:lncRNA
UUUUUACUGCAAUUACCCAAAACUGACCCCAGCCUCUGAAAUGAAAAGUUCAGCCAAGACCUGUGUGAAAUGUACUUACCCCUAACAAUAAACAGAUUAACGUUGGUUAAUCUUGAGGCAGGUGAGAAUCGUCACAUCAGGUGCCAAGGCAAGCUGGGGUGGGGGGCUUAAUCAAACCAUGUUAAUUAGGAGGGAGGGGGAGAGGAGGCACGAGAUGACCAGUCAGUGCGAUGGCACUUUAGCUGGAUACCUGGGGAAGGUCUGAAUCAGGCCCAAUGGACUGCACCUGUUCCCAGCUGUAAACCCAUUCAGUGGGUAGGACUAGGUUUUUGAGAUAAGAGGAGGAGGAGGAUGAAGAAUAACAGGCGGAGAGAGGGGCAGAGAGAAACAUAUGUGAUAAAGAUGUCUUUCUACUGCCAUUUAAGCCGCCCAGAGACCUUUGGGUGGUGUGGGCGGCAUAUAAGUAAAAUAUGUAAAUACAUUUAGGGCUGAAAGGUGCGGGGCUCAGGUAUUAAAAGGCUAAAAAAAAAAGGCGUUGGAAAGAGAAAGUAUUGUAAGGGGCUAAGCCCACCAAGGUGCAGCCCCCCCCCAUGUCUCCCCGACCUGCACCCUGAAGGGAAUCCUCACAGCCACCACACCCCAAAGAAAACCCUCAUUCUCACAAACACACACACCCGAGACCCAGCAACCCCGUCCUCCGGACUUACCCAGGCAGGCUUCAGGCGUCUGUCUCCUUGAGCGUCCGGAGGCGUGUGCGUGUGUGUGUGUGAGUGCGCGCGCGCGCUACCGUGUCCUCGGCUAUGAACGUGGGAACGGGUUCAGCUGCCUCGCUUAGCCUAAUGAUAGUGACAGACCUGGAAUGGUUCACCAGGAUGAACCAACAGAUCCCCCUGGCCUGAAGGAAGUCAAUUGGGAGCAAGGCUUGGAAAGGUAGAGAACAGAUGCACUCACCUACCAAUGGGUUAAACAUCUUGAUGAACAUUUUAAAAGGGGAGGUGUAUAUUCUUGCAUUAAUCAU